UACGGAGGGUGCGAGCGUUGUCCGGAAUCACUGGGCGUAAAGGGCGCGUAGGCGGCUUCUCGAGCGUGUGGUGAAAGUCCGGGGCUCAACCCCGGAUCGGCCGUGCGGACUGGGGAGCUCGAGUUCUGUAGAGGCGGGUGGAAUUCCGGGUGUAGCGGUGGAAUGCGUAGAGAUCCGGAAGAACACCGGUGGCGAAGGCGGCCCGCUGGGCAGAGACUGACGCUGAGGCGCGACAGCGUGGGAGCAAACAGG
rnacentral:rRNA from 1 species